rnacentral:rRNA from 1 species
AAUGAACGCUGGCGGCAUGCCUAACACAUGCAAGUCGAACGAGACCUUUGGGUCUAGUGGCGCACGGGUGCGUAACGCGUGGGAAUCUGCCCUGGGGUUCGGAAUAACUCGCCGAAAGGCGUGCUAAUACCGGAUGAUGACGUAAGACCAAAGAUUUAUCGCUCAAGGAUGAGCCCGCGUAGGAUUAGCUAGGUGGUGGGGUAAAGGCCCACCAAGGCGACGAUCCUUGGCUGGUCUGAGAGGAUGAUCAGCCACACUGGGACUGAGACACGGCCCAGACUCCUACGGGAGGCAGCAGUGUGGAAUAUUGGACAAUGGGCGAAAGCCUGAUCCAGCAAUGCCGCGUGAGUGAUGAAGGCCUUAGGGUUGUAAAGCUCUUUUACCCGGGAAGAUAAUGACAGUACCGGGAGAAUAAGCCCCGGCUAACUCCGUGCCAGCCGCCGCCGUAAAAC